CCUACGGGUGGCUGCAGUGGGGAAUAUUGGACAAUGGGCGAAAGCCUGAUCCAGCCAUGCCGCGUGUGUGAAGAAGGCCUUCGGGUUGUAAAGCACUUUCAGUGGGGAAGAAAGCCUUGGGGCUAAUACCCUCGAGGAAGGACAUCACCCACAGAAGAAGCACCGGCUAACUCCGUGCCAGCAGCCGCGGUAAUACGGAGGGUGCGAGGUUAAUCGGAAUUACUGGGCGUAAAGCGCGCGUAGGCGGUCUGAUAAGCCGGUUGUGAAAGCCCCGGGCUCAACCUGGGAACGGCAUCCGGAACUGUCAGGCUAGAGUGCAGGAGAGGAAGGUAGAAUUCCCGGUGUAGCGGUGAAAUGCGUAGAGAUCGGGAGGAAUACCAGUGGCGAAGGCGGCCUUCUGGACUGACACUGACGCUGAGGUGCGAAAGCGUGGGUAGCAAACAGGAUUAGAUACCCUAGUAGU
rnacentral:rRNA from 1 species